GGAUGUGAGGAUGAUCUGGCUGCAACAUCUGUCACCCCAUUGAUCGCCAGGGUUGAUUGAGCUGAUCUGGCUGGCUAGGCGGGUGUCCCAUUCCUCCCUCGCCAGUCCAUGUGCGUCCCUCCCAAAGCUGUAUGUUCAAAAAGGAUGACCAUCUCCGAUAGAGGAGGACCAGUCUUUGGUCAAGGGUAUAUGAGUAACUGCGCUCUUCGGCUAGGACCUCCAAACAAGCUCUCAAAAGUCCUAACAGAAGUACAAAGAUAAUAAGGAACUUGCAUUUAUUCGUUUCCUUGAUCAUAUGUUUAUUGAUUAGAAGAAAAU
ensembl:misc_RNA 7SK 7SK RNA